CCUACGGGUGGCAGCAGUAGGGAAUCUUCCACAAUGGGCGAAAGCCUGAUGGAGCAACGCCGCGUGGGUGAAGAAGGUCUUCGGAUCGUAAAACCCUGUUGUUAGAGAAGAAAGUGCGUGAGAGUAACUGUUCACGUUUCGACGGUAUCUAACCAGAAAGCCACGGCUAACUACGUGCCAGCAGCCGCGGUAAUACGUAGGGGGCAAGCGUUAUCCGGAUUUAUGGGGCGUAAAGGGAACGCAGGCGGUCUUUUAAGUCUGAUGUAAAAGCCUUCGGCUUAACCGGAGUAGUGCAUUGGAAACUGGGAGACUGGAGUGCAGAAGAGGAGAGUGGAACUCCAUGUGUAGCGGUGAAAUGCGUAGAUAUAUGGAAGAACACCAGUGGCGAAAGUGGCUCUCUGGUCUGUAACUGACGCUGAGGUUCGAAAGCGUGGGUAGCAAACAGGAUUAGAUACCCGGGUAGUC
rnacentral:rRNA from 1 species